rnacentral:lncRNA from 1 species
CACAUUUCAGCCCAUUUUACUUGUCAUAUUUCAUCAAAAGCCCAUUUAUUAAAUACAUGAACCCUGAAAUCUUAGGGUUACAAUAGUCGCAUUUGUAGAUCUUUAUGUUCUAGAAUUUUCUGCUCGUUCAUCUCCAAGCUCUUAUUCCUCACUCUCCACUGCAAAUACUCACAUUUAUUGUAAAAUUCUUACACCCUUCACUCUUAAACCAUUUUUUCUCUACACAUUCUAUUUAUUUGUGGCAUUAUUUUGGCAGAUUUAUGAAUAUUUGCACAAAAGUGUCUUCAAACAAAAAUAUCUUCAUUUUUUCGCAGAUUAAUUUUCAUUUUUUUGUGUUUAUGGCAUCAUUUUUGGUAGAUCUAUAAAUAUCUACACUAAGUGUUGCUUAAAACAAAAGAUCUUUAUUGUUCUUGGCAAAUUAGGUUUUCGUUUUUUUUUAUGUUUAUCGUAUUAUUUUGUUAGAUCUAUGAAUAUCUACACAAAUGGAUAUUUAAAAGAACUUGUUUUUUGUAUACUGUUUAUAUACUGAGUAAGAUCUUUAUUUCUUUUUGCAUAUUAGUUUUUCGUUCUAUUUUUUUUUUUUUUGUUCAUAGUAUCAUUUUAGUAGAUCUAUGAAUAUCUACUCAAAUAGGUUCUUUAAUGAACAAUUUUUUUUUUUUUUAUAUUUUUUAUUGAGGAAGGUCUUUAUUUCUUUUCGCAUAUUAGUUUUUCUAAUUUUAGUUUUUCAUUUUUUUGUGUUUGUAGUAUCAUUUUAGUAGAUCUAUGGAUAUCUACACAAAUGGGUUCUUAAAAGAACAAAAAAAAAUUGUUUGUAGAUUAUUAUUUUUUUAUACUGAGGAAAAUCGUUAUUUCUUUUCGCAUAAUAGUUUUUCGUUUUUUAGUUUUUCAUUUUUUUUUUGUGUUUAUAGUUUAUCAUUUUAGUAGAUCUACGAAUAUCUACACAACUGGAUUCUUAAAAAAACAUUUUUUUUUUGCAGAUUAGUUAUGGUUUAUUCUGAAGAUUUUUUUUUUGGUGUUUAUCUAACCAAAUUGGUACAUAAAAGAACGUUUUUUUGUAGGUGUUGCUGUCGGCACUGGAUGAACAUGGACGAAGCGGUGUAUUAUGUGGUGUAUCUGGCAAGCACUCAGAGCUUUUGUUCUUGAUAAAAAGGUAUCAUCACUAUCUAACAAUUUAGAUUGGACUUCUUCUGAUUUAUAAAAAGUCUAUACGAAAUAAAUAAAUAGCGUGGGAUUGAAAUAAUGAUUUGAAAUCAUUGUGUAUUUUGAAAUACUCUAUCUUUCUCUUAAAUAGCCAAUCUUUCUCUAAAACACACCAUUGGUUUCAUGUGUAUAUAAACUUUUAAUGGCCACAUCCUUAGGAUUGGUCAUGAAAAUGAUUUGAAGAUUGGAAAAAAUAGAAAGUAUAUUAGAUGAUAGUGUAACACUAAAGCUUUGAAAACCAUAUAAGUAUUGAUUUAUUUUUGUUUUCUCAUAUGUGAGCCUUUGUUUUCUUUAGAUUUUUCUGUUUUCUUCAUAAUUUUUUUGUUGCAUUUGUCAGAAAAAAAAGAGUGAAAAAAGUUUAUGUGUAUCUUUAAAAGAUGUUAAGAAGAUUUACUGUUGGUUGAGGAUUAUUAGGAUCCAGUUCUAAUAAGUUCCAAUCAAUGGUUAUUUUUUCAUUUUUGCAAUAAAUUUAAUAACUGCCAUUGUUCUAAUCACGUGUAUGUGUAUUUUUAAUAGCUGCCACUGUUUUGGCAGCUAGAUUGCUUGAUGUCUUUAAAAUCUCCGUAUUUUUGCUUGAUGUCUUUUGAAAUUGAUAAACUUGAGAAAAAGAACAAAAAAAACUCAUUCCUUUUUUCUAUUGUUCAUCAAAAAACAACUUUUUUGCAGCUAUGGUUGGCAACAGUUUAGCUAAUAUAUAAAAAAUUACACUGACACCGUUUUCUUUUGUGACUUCUGCAGAUCCUAGAGACGAUACUUACAUGCUCCAUUGACAGCAAGUCUUCAUCUGUGGAGAAAAUUCAUAAAUAUAAGCUAUGUAUAAAAUUGAAAUAAGUAUUGUAAUACUUGCUUAGUAUCUGAGUUCUAAUUAAAAUUAAUAGUAAAUAGGCACAUUAUAAACAAAUAAAAAUAAAAGUACCAAAUAAAAAUAUAAAAACUCUAAAAUUAAAAGAACAUCAAAACGAAUUAGAACAAUCUACUAAGAACAAUCAAGCAUAGAGAGAGAAAGUUUGCAAACCUUUUUUGAACGAAAAAAUGAACAGAUGUUGCUUGUAUUUAUAGGCAAAUUUUAGGAUGAAUUUUGGCUCCAUGCUUGGGGGCCAAGUUUAAUAAAUGCUGCCUAAAUUGUUUGGGGCCCAAGUUUUAAAAAAUGUCUGCUGAAUUUUGCAAGAUUACAUAGUAGGUAAAACAAAAAAGCAAAACAUGUUGGUUAAUAAGAUGAUUCAAUUUCCCGCCAAAAUGGCUCCAAAUGGCUCAGAUUGAGCUUUUAUAUAUAUAUAUAUAUGUUAGAAAAGAAAUUAGGCAUUUAAAGACAUAAAUUUUUGUUAUCCCUCAUUUUCCCAUGAUUAAUUUAUCCGUCAAAAUAAACACAUCAUUAGCGUUUAUUUUCGAAGCUUUUGCUCACACCAAGAAACAUGUAACUCUCGAGUCUUAUCAUUGUCGAUGGGAAGCCAGACUUAUGGCUCAUAGUCUUGCAAAUUUUACUAUUUUAUCUUAAAUUGUAGUAAUGCUUUAGAAGUCGGAGUUCUCAUCUUGAUUCUAAAUAUUGUUCAUGUUAACUUGAAGUAACAUAGUCAUUUUUUUAUUUGCUCAUGAAAAUCAAAAAUGAAAAAAAGCUAAAAGAAAAAAAAGAAAGAAAAUAAAAAUAAAUUAAAAAAAAAACUUGUUCAAAAAAAGGGGAGAUGAGAUUUUUUUAAUUUAGUUCUUUAAAUAAAUAUAAUUUUUAUGUUUUAAAUUUAAUUUUUAUCUAAAAUAUAUCAAACUAAAGCUAUUUCCAUAAUCUUUAAUUUGAUACGCGUAUCAAAUAUUUUAUAAUUAUUCAAUUUCAUAGUUUUAGGAAAUAAAUAAAGAAAAAUAUAAUAUACAAAUAAAUCUUCAAUUUUAUUCUAAUUAUAAAAUUGUCAUUUAAUUUUAAAAUUUAUUUUGAAUUGAAAAUUAUUUUUUAAUAUAUUAUAGAUUAUUGAUAUAUAAAUGUUAACUCUUCGAGAAUAAAAUUUCGGUAUAUUCCAGAAGUAAAAUUUUGCCAAGUGUUAGUAUGCAACUCGCUCAUAAAAAUCAUUGAAGUCGAUUAGUCAAAUGUCAAUACUCAAAUGAGCUCAAAUAUAAUAUUCUAAUCUAAUUAUAAUUCACUUCAAUUUGAAUUUAAUAGUUUGAGCACCCCUUGAUUUGCUUACAAAUUACAAUAUUAUGUAUUUUUCAUCAGAUUUGGACUUAUUAUAGGCCAGAUCCAAAUUCAAAUUGGGCUUAGUAAUUAUUGAUUUUUAUCUCUAUUGGACCAGAGCUAAUGUCAGAGUGCCUUUUUUCUCACUAUGGAAUCAAUUUCUCAAACAACUGUUUGAAAGGAUCUUAAUAAGUUUAUAACACGAUCUCUCCUAUAUAGUGAGAUCUUAAAUUGAUUUAUAAGUUUUUAUUUAUAAGAGAUUUUUUUUACAUGAAUUCAAAUUUUGUUAUUGAGAUAAUUAAUUUUAUAAAUUACAAAAAAGUCAAAGUCCAAUUUGUUCGUAUUCCUUUUAACUUCAAAUAAUUAACAUAAAAAAAUUGAACUUUGAUUUUUAUGUAAUUUAUAAAAUUAAUGAUCUCAAUAACAUUUUUUGAAGUAUUAGAAUAAAAGUUGUUAGGUCCGGGGGGUCUCGAAUAGGUGUAUGGGGGGGGGGGGAAUACACCUAUAGGCUAUUUUUGGUCUAUCUACCAACCUCAAUCAGAGGGAUCUCAGUCAGAGAUAGAAAAGAAACUUUACAAGCAAACCAGACACCUGUUUAACCGAAAUUAGUUUUGACCAACAGGGUUGACGACUGAUACUGAAAGCUCUUCAGUAAAGAGUUAUCAGUUAAGUCACAAGAACUUAACUGAUCCACGUAAGGGCUUCAGUCGUGUUUGCGAAGAUAGAGAUGAUAUCACUCUUCCUUACUAUCAGAGGACUAGUUCAGUCAGAUUGAUAUCACACGCAGCGGAAAUUAACUUAGUUUCAAAUAGCCUCGGUGGAGCAGAUAGUUGGAUUAAGGUUUCUCUAGCAGUUAGUCAGUGUUCAGUUUUAUCAAUAGAAAUAGCACAGUUAAGAAUGUAAAACUGAAAGCUGUAAAUAACACAGAGACUUUUACGUGGUUCGGAAAAACUCUUUCCUACAUCCACGGCUGGUUGAUCAGACCAACAAUCCACUCCGCAAGUGCUUGCCUGGUGCACUGCAAACCGUGAACUGAAGAUAAACUCUCUUCAGCACCUACACACCUCGCGUAGGAUUUCUCCACCUACACACCUCGCGUAGGAUUUCAGCACCUACACAACUCGCAUAGGAUUUCCCUGCUAAGCACACCUCGUGCUCAGACUUCUCUUUCAGAGUUCAGAGUACCUUCCUGAAUCUCCGAGUCACUCAAACACUCUUAUGGGGGAGAGGUUUAAACGAGUGCCAACUAUACUUACAAAGAACAAGUUCUUUGAAGCAAGUUUGACCUUUGGCUUCUGGGUACACAGAAUAUAUGCCUAGGGUCUAAGAGAAUGUAUGUAAUCAGUAGUGACUGAUUUUGGCUUUGGAAUUCUCUUCUUCGAUUCAAGCUUUGAGCGUUUAAGCUUUUAGGCUGAGUAGCUAUUUCGGCAGAGCUUCAGCUUAUGUCGUUGAAUCGGUGAAGAUUGAAGUGAUCCUCGAGCGCUAUUUGUAGGAGAACUCUUGAAUAGAUCCGUUGGCGUAAAUCGUCUUCAAGAUUUCUUCCGUUGGAGAGCAAUUCGAAUUUGGGCUGAGGCUUCAAUCUUCGAGGUUCCUUGUCUGUGUGGAAACGGCUCUCUUUGAAUGACAGGAGAUGUGACAUCUCUGAAAAGUAACCACCAGAUAGGAAUGACCUCUGCAGAGAUAAGAUAUUGAGAUAUCUCUGCAUUUAAUGCGGCUGUACUUUGAGCGUACGUGGCUUCCUCUGAACGUUGGAAGAUCAGUUCUAGGAGGAAUGUUCCAACUGAUACUUGACUUUAGUAUCAGUCUAUGGCGCGCAUUAAAUAAUCAGUCUUCAACUGAUUCUUCAACUGAUACUUCAGUUGGUAACUCCAGUCUUCAGUCUUCAGUCUUCAGUCUUCAUUCUUCAGUCUUCAGUCUUCAGUCUUCGACACCGCAACUAAACUAGAAACGAACUCUAACACUUGAGUUCAAAACGAUUCUAGUCUAUUACAUUUAAGUCCUAUGAAUUUUGGUAUCAUCAAAACAAGGGUUAGGAUAUUCCACAAGGUUCCCAACAAUUUCCCCCUUUUUGAUGAUGCCAAAACCACACAGCAGUUCUAGACAAUAAAAAGACUGAGCUCUCAGUACAAGUUCUAGACAAGGAGUGAAAACAGUUCCCCCUUAACAAUAGAACCUAAACAACUUAUACUUAGAGCAAGAACGAAAACAGUUCUAAACACAGAACUUAAAGAAGACAGAAAAACCAUAAAUCAGAGUCUGGACAAAGAGUCAUUGUCUUCAGGGUGAGAUCAAUAAGAAGUUCAUUUCUUUAAAAAAGGACUGAUAAGCCAUCAGUCAAGGUACAGAGCAAGACUUACAUUGGAGUAACAAGAAAAACAACAAAAAACAUCAUGGAUAAACCAUGGACUCCAGCAGUCUGCUUGGCUGCGCCUUGAACUUCUUGAUCUUCAUCUUCUGUCUUCGUGUCUUCAUGUUCCUAAGCUUGUUCCACUCUCACUUGUUUUCCGUUGAAUUGAGGUCUUAUCUGAAACGUCAUCCUUCUAACUUCUGGUGAUCCUUUGCUGUUCCAUUAUCAGUUAAGAGUUAGAGGACAGGAGCAACCUAGAAAAAGGUUUCUCUCUGGCUUCUGACUUUGCAACUUUUCCCUUUCGUUGACAUCAAAGAAGAGAGNAUUGUUACAUCAAAAUACUAUGGUUGGAUUUAAUUUCGUAUGUAAGUGAAUUGUUUUGAAAAUUAAUUUUCAACAAUCGAUCUCAUUACAUAAUUGAAUUCAAAUAUCGUCCAAAAUGUGUAGUAUUUUUUCCCCCUGCAAUUAUACUCGAAUUUGAAAAAUUAACAAUUAAUUUUAUUUUUACUAUUUUUGAAUAACUUAAGUAGGUGAACGCAUUCAUUCAGUUGUAUUGUUAUGGGCCCAUAAAACCUCCAAUCACAAUACACUUAUAUAAAAUUAGCUUUGGACACUACUUUUGUAUUGGAUUGCAGUCUACCACCUAAAGUUAUAGUUUCCGAUUUUUAUUAGGCACUAUUUACAAAUUGACAAAUCAUCAUCACGUUUGAAUGUUUUUUUUUUUUUUGAUCGGUCAAAGUAAUGUUAGAUGUUAGUAGUUACUUCUCCAUCCACUCCAAGAACCACCUUAUCUCUCCAUUCACCAAACUCCACCUUAUAUCUCCAAUCACCAAUUCGUUCCCAAGAGGGAUCGAACCCGGGUCACUUCACUUAAGUGAGGACCCGGUGGCCAGUAUCACGUUUGAAUGUUAUGUAUGCAUAAAUAAGAGAGACAGUGACAAACAAUUAUUUAUAUUAUCUAAACAAUAAAAUUUCCAUUUUUUACUUACUAAGGAAAUAAGUUGGGGACGUAUGGCUCUGAUUAAUGUUUUUCUGUCUUGUCCUUGUUCUGUUUUGAACUGUUGUGUUAUUUCUCUGAGUACAAGUUUUAGGUUCUAUUGUUAAGGGGGAAUUGUACUAACCCUGUUUUAGAAAUUGUGCUCUGAGUUCAGUCUUUUUCUUUAUUAGAACUGUUGUGUGGUUUUGGCAUCAUCAAAAGGGGAAAAUUGUUGGGAACUUAAUGAAAUAUCCUAAUCCUUGUUUUGAUGAUACCAAAAUCAAUAGGUUCUUUUGUAAUAAACUAGAACUGCUCGAACUCAAGUGUUAGAGUUCUUUUCUAGUUUAGCUUGCUNCGCUCUCUACUCUUGAUCAAAUUGUCAUUGUUGUUAUUUUUGUAUCAUCAUCAUCAUGCAUGUGUUUUUCUGAGUUAUGAGCAAAUCAGUUUUAGGGCUUCUCUCCUUUGGCAGAUGAUGCAUGAUGGAAUAUAUACGUAAGUUUAAUUUAUAAUGUACAUUUGCCAAAGGAGAGUUGCCCUCAGACUGCUUUAGCUUAAUUAACAACCCUUUUUCUGCAUAUUUUCAUCUUUGUUUAAUCAUGUCACUUUUAUCAAUAGAUAUACUAUCAAUUAGAAACAGUUCUUCCAAAAUUUUAAGUCAAAAUUACGAUAAGGCGUCUUGAAAUAGUGAUAUUAAUUCGUUUGCGGUACAAAUAGUGUACUAUCACGAAAAUUAUUUAGAAAUUAAAUAUGGGUACUAUUUCUUUGGAUUAUGAAGAUCAACUGUGCAUGCAUCGCCCGAAUUCGAAUCCUGUAAGGUGCGAUUUUUUUUUUUUUUUUCUCGAGCGCAUUUAAUUGCAUAACGAAUACAGUAACUUUAAAUACCAGUGAAGUGUUCUUAGUUCUCAUUUUAAAUUGCAGGUUUCGCUAUAUAUAAGAGAAGCUUCAAAUGAGAAUCUUCUCUUAAAUAUACGUGAACCUGAUAACCAUUUUCAGUCAGAGUCAGGAUCUAUUAUGUAUAUACAUAUUGUGGUGAGUUUUAAUUAGGAAAAAUUGCAUGUAAAUACACAAAUUUUGCUCAAAAUCCAUAUUUGAAGUGAAGUUAGGAUUUUGCAAUUAAAUACACUAACUUUGUAAAUUGUUCAAUUUUGAUGCUGAUUCAUUUUUCCCAAAUUUUAAAAUGACGUAGCUCCUACCUGACUCGCUGGCACACGCCUUUUAGUUUGUAAAUUCUAACUUCACGUCAAAUGUGAAUUUUGAGCAAAGUUUGUGUAUUUACAUGCAAUUUUCCCUUUUAACUCCAACAAAUUAAAAGAUAAAGCCCACAAGGAAAUAACUAAAACUUGGUAGAGCAAAAGAAAAGUGGGAAUUAUUACAUAUAACCUUUUCUCAUAAAAACAUAAGUUUUAUUAUAGCCUCACUUUAUAAUACAUAAGUUAAACAUCCAUUUUAAAUUUAAAAAACUAUAAUAUCCUUUGAGUUUUUUUAUAUUUUUAUAUAAUAUUUAAAAUUAUCUCUCUCUCUCUAAGCUCUUUCUCUUAUGUAUAUUAUCUUCCAUGGCAGCCAUUGAAGCUCACCAUCAACAGCCGAUUUCUGCUGCCACCGGUUCAUGUCGUCGCCAGUCAGUUGGUUCCUAUCGUCGGGUGCCGUCGUUGCCGCUGCACCUCGCUAAAAGAUGAGGACGUGAUGGCCUGAAACAGGCGGCGGUCGAUGCGCCGACUGGUUUGGGUUCCAGUAGCCGCCGUUCUGAGUGAAGAGGUCUGAUAGAUUACAUCCUAUGUUUCAAAGAGAUUCAACAAUUUUUUUUUAAAAUCUAAUUUGGGAGAUUUCGGUAAAACUUCCGGAAUUUUAGAGAACAAAUUAAUGGGGAAUUGUAGGCUAUCUUUGGUGGUGAUAGACAACAAGGGAGUGUACCCAGACGGAUAUUCGAGAGGGAUUUUCAUUAGAGUAAGAAAUUGACAGCUAGAAGAGAGAGCUUUUUGACUACAUCUUCACUACUCGAUGGUGUACUCAAUGGAGUAUUCGAUCGAAUUCUUCAUUACUCGAUGGCAAUUUGUUUGUGUUGUGUUAAAUUUGAUUGUGUUUACUCGUUGGUGUUACCCAUCGAUGGUGGACUUCCACUACUUAAUCGUGUACUCGAUCGAGUACACCAUCGAGUAGUGACAAGACAAAAUUUUGCUUGUUUUUUUUUUCUUUUUUUAUUCGUUGGUGAUAAAUAUUUAUAUUUUUCAAUCUUAUUAAUCACAGAUGUCAUUGGGUAACUAUACGCAUUGUCUUGAAUGACUGAAAGGUUGAAUUAUAUAACUACACGUUUUAUUUGAAAACUAAACUACUUUGAUUUUAAUUUGAAUUGAUUUGUGGUUGAAUUAUAAUAUUUGAUGAUUGACUGAUAAAUUUUAUAUGAUUCUCAUAUUUAAUGGUUCGAUCAAAAUUCGCACAAGCUUAUAAUUAUUUAAUAAUUACAUAUAAAAUAAGUGUAUAAUGACAAUGCUUACAAAAACGAACAAUCUUCAAUUUUAGUGAAAAUAAUUGAAAAAUAAUCAUCAUUGUUCUUUACUACACGAUGGUGUACUUGAUGGCAUUCACCAUCGAGUACUCCAUCGAAUAGUGAAGAACAAUCUUCAAUUUUGAUUAUUUUUUCAAGAUUUGUAAUCAAAUGAAGCGUUCUGUCGUUCUUAAAUAACACGUUUAUGCUAAAUUCAAUGAAAAAUAAAUAUCUUAAGUGUAUUUAACUAGUACACUUGAGUAAAUGAUUGAAGUGUAGUGUAUCUAUUACAUAAGAAAUAGUGUGAAUUUUUAUUUUGAAAAUCAAAGAUGUGUCACAUGUUGAAAUGAAACAUGUAAUACUGACAAUGGUUAUCAUCUAUCGUGUUUUAUAAUAGCCAAAUACACACUCGUUGAUGUUACAAACAACAAACUUGGAUUCCAAUCAAAAUAAUUGAAAAAUAAUCAUCACACCCCGUGUUAUAUAAUAGCCAAAUAUACUCUCUUUGACGUUACAAACAAGAAAUUUGGGUGGAAAUCGCAAUAAUUGAUAAAAAAAAAUCACCAUUGUUCUUCACUACUCGGUCGAGUACUCGAUGGUGAACGUCAUCGAGUACUCUAUCGAGUAGUGAAGAACAAUAUUCGAUUUUGCUAUUUCUCUCGUUAUUNUUAAUGAUACGAAGCGUUUCGUCGAUCUUAACUAACGUGUUUGUGCUAAUAUCGAUGAAAAAUAAACAUAUUAAUGGUGUAAUUAGCUUUUGCACUAGAGUAAAUGAUUGAAGUGUGGAAUAUCUACUCAUAAACAUAGUGUGGAGUUUAUGUUCAAACUUAGGAUAUGUGUCACGUGUUCAACGAUUAUCACACCCCGUGUUNACACUAGAGCAAAGUAUUGAAGUGUAGAAUAUCUACUUCAUAAGAGAUAGUGUGGAGUUUUAUGUUCAAACUUAGGAUAUGUGUCACGUGCUCAGCGAUUAUCACACCCCGUGUUAUAUAAUAGCCAAAUAUACUCUCUUUGACGUUACAAACAAGAAAUUUGGGUGAAAAUCGCAAUAAUUGAUAAAAAAAAAAUCACCAUUGUUCUUCACUACUCGGUCGAGUACUCGAUGGCGAACGCCAUCGAGUAGUGAAGAACAAUCUUCGAUUUUGCUAUUUUUCUCGUUAUUUUUAAUGAUACGAAGCGUUUCGUCGAUCUUAACUAACGUGUUUGUGCUAAUAUCGAUGAAAAAUAAACAUAUUAAUGUUGUAUUUAGCUUUUGCACUAGAGCAAAGUAUUGAAGUGUAGAAUAUCUACUUCAUAAGAGAUAAUGUGGAGUUUUAUGUUCAAACUUAGGAUAUGUGUCACGUGCUCAGCGAUUAUCACACCCCGUGUUAUAUAAUAGCCAAAUAUACUCUCUUUGACGUACAAACAAGAAAUUUGGGUGAAAAUUGCAAUAAUUGAUAAAAAAAAAAUCACCAUUGUUCUUCACUAUUCGGUCGAGUAGUGAAGAACAAAUCUUUGAUUUUGCUAUUUCUCUCGUUAUUUUUAAUGAUACGAAGCGUUUCGCCGAUCUUAACUAACGUGUUUGUGCUAAUAUCGAUGUAAAAUAAACAUAUUAAUGUUGUAUUAAUAAUUGAUAAAAAAAAUCGAAGAUUGCUUUUCACUACUCGGUCGAGUACUCGACCGAGANGGCGAGUAGUGAAGAACAAUCUUCGAUUUUGCUAUUUCUCUCGUUAUUUUUAAUGAUACGAAGCAUCAAAUAUAAUAAUCAACUAAAUUAUCCAAUCAUCAAAUAUUAUACAAUCUAGCGUAUCUCUCGUGAUCACUAAGACGCCCAAUUGUUCCUCCUUUGAAUGUUUGUAUUGCAGAUUUGCCACCAACAUCCUACAAUGUUGUUCGUAUAUCUUCAAAUAUUGAAGUCCGUACAUAGAGAUUAAUAGCACAAGUUACAUGAAUCAAAGACGGCCUCUUCCACUUAUAAGGUGCCUACAAUAUCAAAAUACAAAGAUUUAGCAUCAAUAAACCAUAAAUGAAGAAGAAUAAACAUAAAAAACAAAAUCUGGUCACUACUCGAUGGAGUACUCGAUCAAAUGAUCGAGUACUCGUAAGCAACCUAAACAUAAAAUCAAAUCAAAUUAAACCCAAUGCCAACUUCUAGAUGUGUACUCGGUGGAGUACUCCAUCGAGUACUCGAUUGAAAGAGUUCACGAUAUCGGUAGAGUACUCGAUCGAGUACUCAACGAGUACUCCAUCGAGUACUCAACCGGGUACUCAUUUCGAAUCGUGCACUCUUUACACGUACCAUUGUGUUGUCAUGAAUUCCAACAUUAUCAAGCAUACUUCAUUUCAAACCAACAAUCAAACAUACUACAUUUUGAUAGCAAAAAACAAACAUCAAAUUUUUAAACAAUACAAACACUAAUUACAUAAAUAUUUCUAGAUAAAAAAUGAUUGCAAUAGAAUAUUUCUAGCUUUCAUACCGGUGGGAGCAAUGGAGGUUGUGAUAUUUCCUUGUCAUGGGGAUGGUUGGAAUCCGUUUCGCUCAUUUCGACACAAGCUGAGCUUUGAGCCCUAGUUCACUGGGGCGGCAAUCGAGCAAGUGAGAGAGAGAGAUGGUAGCUGCUCUCUUAUUUGGGGAAAUCGAGCAAGUGAGAGCCCUAGUUCACUGGAGUGGCACUGUGACGACGGCGACGGGGCGGGCCUUUGACGUUGGGCCAGGUCGCGGCGGGAUGGGCGGCGACAACUGAACCUACGGCGAUGGGGCUGGUCGCGCUGUGACGACGGCGGCGGGGCGGGGCUUUGACGUUGGGGCAGGUCGCGCAACGGCAACGAUGCGGGAUGGGCGGCGGCAACUGGGCGGCGACGGCGAUGGGGCUGGGCUGGGCGGCGCAAUAUUUGAGAGGAAGAGAGAGAGAGAGCCGAUUUUUUUUUAAAAGGAGAGAGAGAGCCGGUUUAGGUGAGAGAGAGAAUUUGCUUUAAUUUUGAUUUUGUGGAAUAAAAAUAAAUCUAAGGGUAUAAUAGUAUUUUAAGCCAAAAAAGGUUGUAUAACUUGUAUACUAUGAACUAGGGCUAUAUAACUUGUAUAUUUAUGAACUAGGGCUAAAAAAAGAUUUCCCUCUUGAAUAAUUGGGGUGCCCAUUCGAUUUUUCGGUUUGGUUUUUGCUAAAAUCAAACCAAACUAAAUUUAUAUUUGGUUUUAAAAAAAAAUCGAGCCAAACCUAAAAACCAAAAUUUUUAGAGUAAAAAUCGAACCAAACGAAAUAGUCCAAAAAAACCGAAAAAAGAAAAUGAAAAAUAAGAAAAAAUUAAAUGAAAUUGUAUUUAAUAUUAAAAUUAUAUAUAUACAUAUUAGAGUGGAUUUUGAAAAUAGUCAAUUUCUUUUAAUAAACUUAAAAAUUAUCCACUAAAAUAAAAACUUAAAAAAUACCCACACUUACCAUUUUACCGUUUACCCUCAAAUUAAAAAAAAAUACUUAUAUUCCCCCCUGCGGCCCUGCCCUGCCCACCCUCCCCCCACCCACUCAAGCCAAUUUUUUUUUACUUCCCAACCCCCCCCCCAACCACUCACCCCCAAGUAAAAAAAAAUGAAAAAGUAUCAAAUAAGCCCCUAACAUGGUGGCCCUUAUCACGUUUAGAUCCAUAUAGUCGAAGUUGGGCCAACUAAACCCUCAAACUAAUUAAUUUCGUGCAAUUACCCCCUCCGCCCUAACGACCAUUUAACACCGUUAAGUAUUUAAUUUUUAUUUGGGAAAAGGUGCAGAUCUACCCUUCUAGUGGUAGCCCCUAUAGCUAGGGAUGGCAACGGGCCGGAUCUGGACCGGAUCUGACCAAUACCAGAUCCAGAUCCGUUUUCAUAUAUCAGAUCCAGAUCCGUCCCAGAUCCGACGGAUCUAAAAAUUUGAGAUCCAGAUCCAGAUCCGUCAGAUCCAUGGGUCUACGGGUCUAGAUCCAUGGAACUGGAUCUACUAUUUUUAUGUGAAAAUAAGAAAAGCCACACAGAUAAUCAAGAUUAAAUUCCACUUAAUUUUGACUCUUUUCGGAGAUGAGUUUUCAAUUGAUCAAAACCAGAAUUUGAGGAAUUAUUUCCGAGAACAAACAUCCUUUUUCACAAACCAAUGGUUUCAGGAAAACAAAACAGGAAAAAGGGUUUUGGGGGCAAAAUCAAUACUUUCCGAAGUGGCUGGAAAUUUAGAAAGUUCAGUUUACUUUGAAUAUUUAAAAUAGGGGAAGAGUAAAAAAGAAAAAUGCCUAAUUCAGGAAAUUAGAAGCUUUGACUAGCUAAAAUUGAAAGUCGAGUUCAGAUUCAGAUCGUAAUUGCAAUAGGACACAAAAAUAAAGGGAAUGAUAAUUGAAUACGGAAACAAUUUUACAUUUCCACAUGUCUAGAUCUACGGCGAGAGGUGGUUGUUAUGGCAGCGGCGAAUGGUGCGGCGAGAUGGAGAAGCUGACGGAGUCGGGAAUCACCUGUAACUUUCCUUCGCCGACUGUCUACGAUGAUGUAAAACGGAGAGAGGGGCGGCUAUCUAGCGAGAGUGUCGAAGGCUGUAACUUCCUUUGCCGGCGCACUGGAUUGAGAGGGAGGCCGGCGAACUGGAUUGAGAGAGAGGCCGGGAGGGUGAGGCCGACGAAUUGGAGGCAGGGAGAUGGGCAGGGUGAGGGCGGCGGGCGACUUGGAGAGGGAGGGAUCGAGGGAGUUGGAGAAAAAGUAUAAACUAGGGUUUAUAAUUCUAAUUUGUAUAUUAUUAUUAAUUUUUAAUAUAUAUUAAUAUUAUUACUAAAAUAAAUAUAGAAAAUAAAUAAUAUAUAUUAAAAUAAACGGGUCCACGGGUCGGAUCUGGGUCGGAUCUGGAUCUAAAAUUUUAAGAUCCAGAUCCAGAUCCGUUUUGUAAAUUGAGAUCCAGAUCCGACCCAGAUCCGUCGGGUCUAAAAAAAUGAGAUCCAGAUCCGUAAAAACGGAUCUGGAUCCACGGAUCUGGAUCGGGUCCAAGAUCCAUUGCCAUCCCUACCUAUAGCGUGUAGCUCCUCAUACUCACAGUGUGUGCAAAUAGACCCCCGAACUAAAAAAAACAACUCAAAUACACCCCUCUGACCAAACGCCGUCUGUCACCACUAGUCAACUUUUUUUCUUAAUUAUUAUUUUAAUGAAAAAGUGGGUUUGAGCAUCCAUGGAUGCCAGUAAACAGUCGUCGUUGCCUUCUGCGUUCAAGUCGAAGAAUCUUCUGAGCUCGCCUGCGCCGUCGGAUUGGAAGGUUUCUGAUCCGAACCCGGACCCGCUGAUUGUGAAGACCCCCGGGAAGCCCGCGGACCAGCCACGGAGACUGCGGCAUGGCUUUGUCGAGUUUGGAUGUCAGGAAAAUGCCGAUGAAGCUCCGAGAACGGGGAUCCGAUCCACCUGCGAGAAUCGACGUGGAUUCAAUUUUGAUUUCAGAUCUGCUGCUUUCUCAAAGAAAAUGUUGAAAUUCAUUGGUGAUAGUUUCACUUUUUUGUAUAAUAGUAUUUCAUUCUUGUGUUUAAUGGAAUAUUUGAUGCGGCGAAGACGGCAACCGAUAGAGCUGGCACGAACAAGAGAUGAUGUGAGGCAGCCCAUCGCCGUUGCUCCAGCGGGUUUUGAGAGGAAAGCCGAGAGAGACUUGAGAUGAGAGGCGAGAAUAUUCUCUUAUGUAUGCGUGCGUGAGUCGAACUGGAGGCUGGAGGUGGUCGGUGGCGGCCAUUGCCGGAGAGCGAGGGUGGUGAGUCGGGCAGGGGAUGACGGAAACAACGACGUGGUUUUGUCGUUGUUUGUGUGUUGGGGGUGCGCUUAACAAAGAUAGAAGUAGAGGAAGAAGAGUGAUACCGAGGAAGGGAUCAGAGCAUUAGAAAGGGUGGUGGCGGCGGCUUGUCGCCGCUAAACCGCCGAAGUUUCAGAUGGAGGAAGGGGCGUCGCCCGGUGUGGCGUUGUUGGCGUCCGUGAGUAUGGGGUCCACUUUUUCAUUAAAAUAAUAAUGAAAAAAAGGUUGACUAACGGUGAUAGACGGCGUUUGGUUAGAGGGGUGUAUUUGAGCUUUUUUUUUUAGUUCGGGGGCUUAUUUGCACACACAGUGAGUAAAGGGAGCUAUACACUAUAAGGGCUACCACUAGAGGGGUGGAUCUGCACCUUUUCCCUUUUUUAUUUUAUUUUUAUUUCGCCAAGGUUGCUGGAAACUCGUCGGAAAAUACAGAUUGAUUGAGAGAGUUGGGGGUUUCCUCUAUGCCCAUAGCCUGCGAGUCGUUAUUGCUCGUGAAAUCGUGGAAUCGACGGCCGCGCCGGUCAGGCAACCAAACCGAGCCGCGUCUCAGAGAGUGACAGGCAGUGGACGCCUAUGAGCGUGAGUCGCGGUGGUCGACCUCGGGUUUUCUAUUAAUGGCCCGUGAACCCUUCUGUUAAUAGCCCAUGAACCCUUUUCGCUGAGCUCUGAGAUUUAUCCCCCAACAGAGCAAAUUAGGCGGAGAUCGGCGUGCUGUGGAGCUUCGCCAUCCUCGAUUUGAACAUGCUUCAUCUCAGUCGAUUGGAGGUCAGAAUUGGGGACCCUUAGGGCAUGGCGGUGGAUGGCUAUUCACUGCGGCACCGAUUUUCGCCGGAUAAGGCGGCGGCGUGGCUCGAACCUGUGUGGGAGCGUGUCAACGAAGGCGUCGCCGAUUGGACGAAGCACCGGCCUUGCCGAGUUCAGAUAAGAGGUGGUGACAGGUGUUGCCGAAUUUUUGGAUAGAACCGAGCGUUUUCCGGCGACCUUGGCGAAAAUAAAUAAAUAAAUAAAUACUUAACGGUGUUAAACGGCCGUUAGGGCGGAGGGGGUAAUUGCACGAAAUUAAUUAGUUUGAGGGUUUAGUUGGCCCAACUUCAACUAUAGGGAUCUAAACGUGAUAAGGGCCACCAUGUUAGGGGCUUAUUUGAUAUUUUUUUCCUUUAAUUAAUUUUUCAAAUUCGUUAUUAGUCGAUAAUUCUUGUAAAUAGGUGUACAAAGGAUUUUUAAUUAAUAGUGUAUCGUAACUGUGUACUAAAAAACAAUAAAUUUAUCUUACUAAUUUCAAAUUAAGUAAGUUUAAAACAUAUCAAAUUAUUGUUGGUUUGAAAUGGUUUCAUAUUAUCUACAAAAACAUGUCAAACCUCGCAAGCAAACUGUUAAUUUCAAUAGUAUACUAUAGAGCACCCUAACUGUGUAAUGUUAUGUUUAACGAUGUACUCAAAUUACACAUCAAUUCUCGAAUAUUUCUUGUUCAAAUAUAUUUAAAAUGAUUUUUUUUUCUUUUCACAUUCAUUAAUAGUCGACAACUCGUGUGCAAAUACGUAUAAAAUCGAUUUUUCUUAACUGUGUUACAGAAGAGUAAAAACUUCCUUCAAUGAAUAUAAGGAUCUUGACCAAUAGAUUAAGCAAAUUAGCUUUCUAAAUUCAAUUCUCAAAUCCCUUAUACUCAUUUUUAAUAAUAAUUUUUUGAAAAAUGUUGAACUUUAAUAAUUCGAUAUAGAAAAUAUAGUAGUAUCAAAUGUUCAAUAUAUAUAUAUAUAUGGGGCCGCUUAGUGAGAUCUAGGCACGAUCUGGUGCAUUUAUUUUAUCAAUCCUAUAACUGAUAUUGUAUCUGGAGGGUGAUUUUUUUUCGCAGGGUUCGAAUCCUAGAGGGAGCAGAAUAUUUUAAAUGUUGUUAUUCAUCAGUAUAUACUGCAUUGUUCAUCAGUAUAUACGGCCAUGUUCAUCAGUAUAUAUAUCUUAUUCNNNNNNNNNNNNNNNNNNNNNNNNAUAGUUAUUAUAUAUAUAUAUAUAUAUAUAUAUAUAUAAUUAUUUUCUAUUGUGAACUAUUAAUUUUGAGCAAUUAGUAUCUCAAGCGCAUAAAACUACACAAUUCUGUCCUGAUUUUCGAACAGAAAUUUCGGUACCGUAAGCUUGAGUAAGAUUGCCGUGAAGCUAACAUGAUACUACAUAUGUAAAAAUGACUUUGAUAUGAAAUGUAUUCUAACUAUGAAUUUUGAAUUUAUGACGUUGUUUUGGACUUACAUUAUUCACAAAUUCUUCUACGAGAGAUCAAGUGUAUGGAAGAGACGGGUCAGAUCGAGGUUGGACGCGGAUCGGGGCAUACCUAGCGACCCAACAUAUACAUAAAUUCAGGUCCAAACCCUAGCAUUCUUAUCCCUCUUUUCGAUCUCUCUCUCUGUGCGCUCACAUCGCCAAUCCUCCUCUCCAUUUCCCAAUAUCUCGUCUUCUUCAUUCGUAGAAAGAGCUCCAGUAGGCUCUUUAGACAUUAAUGAUGCAUAAAUAGAGAGAAACUGGUGGUAUUAUGUGGCGCAGCAGACAACAAGUUCAUCUUCACGAACGAGAACAAGGUCGUGACUCCCUGGCUGCCUCUAUCAAUGAGAAAGGUUGUGUUCCCAUAUCAACGGAUGAGAGACCUUCCACAAGUUCAAGCUGGAGGCAUUCAGACAGUAAAUUGGCAUCUGCGCCAUACAUUUUACUUUUUUGUUACUUUUAAUCUAUGUCGGUGUAGUUAUAUCGUGGAUCCAUGAAUUUCAUUUUUGUAAUGAAAUUCGUUGUUUUGCAGGCUCAUAAUUCUGAAUUUAGUGAAGUUGUAUCAAUUUAUGAGCUUUAUUCAGUUUCACUGCUUCUUCUUCGACUUAUAUAGUCAAGUAAUUAUUGUCGUAAUAAAAAGUAAUUAAUUAAUUAUUGAUACGAAGAAAAUGUUAUUUUUUGGUCAAUUCUGAAACAUUAAUUUUCUUCAUAUUGAUUAUUACUUUUCAACAUAACAAUAAUUACUUUGAAAUAAUGCAAAAAUAAAUAAAAUAUAGAAAUAAUUAUCCUCGUAAGAAUAAAGUUGAUGUUUCAAAAACACUACAUUUUUUCAUUUCAAUUAUUACUUUUCAACAUAACAAUAAUUACUUUAAAAUAAGCAAAAAUUAAAAAAAAUUACAGAAAAAAUAAAAAAUAAAAAAUAAAAAACAGUAAACAAAAAAAUAGGAUAAAAAACACAUUAGUGGGUUUCGAACCUAAUAUAUCAUUGAGUUGAAAAUGUGAAGCUUUACCCACUUUACCAACACCUUAUUUAGAUAAUCUAUAUAAUAUAUAAAAGAGCAGUAUAACGGCUACUUUUUCCCACCAAAAUUUCUUUCUCCUCACUUUUUUUUUUUUUUUGAUUCUCUUUUAAAAAUCAUAAACUUUGAUUCAUAAAAAAAAUAAUUCAAUAUGGAUGUUAAAUUAAAGAUGAUGACAAGAUCUUUAAUUUGAUGUAAAAAUUAUAUAAAAUAAAUUUAAAAUAAAUAAGUUAUUAGUAUCAUUUAAAGUCACAAAAUUAUUUUUUUCUCUCUUCUCUCUCAUCCAUCCUCCUCUCUCUCCUAUCUUCUUUCUUUAAAUGCUAUGGUUCUUCAUUUUUUUUCUAUUUCAUUCAUUUUUCUAUUUUUAUUUAUUUUAUUUUUUGUUAGAAAUUAUUUUUGAUAUUUUUUAUUUAUAUUUUUUUCUAUUAUAAAAAUUUAAGGCAACUAAAAAGAUUAAACUUAUAUUUGUUCAUUUUAUCAAUUAUAAAUAAUUAAUUGGUAGUUCAAAAAUUGAAAAUUCAAAUGUUUUCAGAUUCAUGUGUUUAUUGAGAUUAUGUUGUUCAUAACUUCGUAUUUUUUUUAGAUUUAUGUUUGCAUUUAUUUAUAUUUAAAUUAUAUGUAAUAUAUGUAUUUAUUUAUUAAAAAUAUCGUUCAAUUUCAACAUUGAUCGUGCAUCGCACGAGCGGGCAUACUAGUUCUAUAUCAAAUUGGGUAAAAAAAAUUGGUGUGAACCACACAACUUUCUUCUUAAAAAGUAAAUUUCUUAAUUUCUGCGUGCCCAAAAGAAAUGUGUCUAUUGGAGUGAGACUGAGGGAGUAUUAUUACGACCCUUCCCGGUCCCGCCCUGACCUGUCUCUUUCAUGCACUUGGUCUCAUAGGAGCCCAACUCGACAUUAUUUAUGCUCAAAUUUGAUAUGAAAAUGACUUUGACAUGAAAAUGUAUUUAAAUAAAAUUAUAAUAUAUAUAAUUCAAAUUUUGAACUUAAUUUUAUACUCCCUCUGUCCACUAAUUGUUGGCCUAUUUUCCUUUUUGGUCCGUCCACCAAUUUAUGUCCUACCCAUUUAUAGUAAGUCUUUACAGUUUUUUAAUUGGUGGGUCCCAAUAAACAAUACACUUUUUCUCCACUCAACUAAUAAACAAUACACUUUGUGGGUCCCUUUCUCCACUCAACUAAUAAACAAUAUAUUUUGUGGGUCCAUUUCUCCACUCACUACACUUUUUCUUAAAAUCCGUGUUUUGCCUCCUAGACCAACAAUUAGUGGACGGAGGGAGUAUAAUUUUAAGGUAGUGAAAAAUAUGGUCCGUAAUAAAUUUACAUAAUUUUUUGUAGUCUGUAAUAACUGCAACCAUUUUAUAUUUCAAUAAUGUUACGUGGCUAUAUAUAUUAUGACUAGUCAUAAACUAAUUAAAUAAAAUAAAAAUUUAUUUAUUUAAAUUAUUUUGAUAAAAUUAAGAAAGGAUUAGCUAGUUUUAGUAUUUGUGCUCAUUAAUUGUAGUUUUUUGAUUUAUUAUCAUUUUUUAUUUUUUAAAAGGGUUAAGUACUAAAUUCCCCCGUCGUUGGUGUUACUAUCGCCUAUAGGACACUAUAGUCAGGGUCAAAGUUGUUUACUACCUCAACGUGGCAAAAUCGCAUCAAAUGCCCCCUAUCACUUAACAGAGCUUAAUACCGUUAGAAAAAAUAACUUUUUUUGUAUUUAAUUAAGGUGGGCCCUAGCUCUCUCUCUCUCCCUCUCCCUCUCCCCUUGAGUAAAUUCGCUGUCUUAGUUCAGUUUUCCGGCGAGGCCGCCGCCACCUCCGAUGCGGCCGUGCCUCGCCCCCGAUUCUUCCUCUCACUCUCUAGAAUCCUCUGAAAACAACACAAGCCCUAUCCCAUUUUUCUAAAGGUUGUUGUCUCAAAAUUUGGCGAGAAAAAGUUAUCGUCGACCACUGGUUUCACACCGGAGCCACCACAUUUGUCUCUAAUUCUAUGUCUUUCGCUGAUUCCUCCUCUCAUAAACACAGAUCAGCCGCUGCUGCCUUCAUGGUCCCGCCGCCUUUUCCCCAAAAUUCGGCGAGACAGAUGGUCGUUGCUUCACGACUCUCUCAAUUUUUCUAGCAACCUCAAGUUGCACCCAGAUUAGAGCCUUAGUUCUCAUCUAUCCUCGACUCUCAAGAAACACACAAUUGAGGGAGAAAAUCGAGUCGUAGCUUCCAUCUGAAACGCGGUCACCGCCCUAGUUCGACACAGAGAGAGAGGGGAGCAUGAGGGGAGUUGAGCGAGAGAUAGAGAGAGAUAGACGGGAGAGAGAGGAUGAGGAAUUGCCUGAGGUGAAGAGGACAACGGCGAGACGGCCAGGUGGCAGCAGUAACGGCGGCGGCGGCAGAUACCACCGACGAAUAGAAAUAGAAAUUUAAAAACAAGAAAUCCUAAAUCUAUUUUGAUUUGGGGGAAGGGAAGAAGAGAAAAAGUGAGGAGGAAGGAGAGAAGCCGACCUCGCCGCUCCGAAGGGCGGUGAGAACCGACGACGUCCGCUGGAAUCUGUGUGUGUCUGUAUGAUGCGGUGUGUGUGUGUGAAGAACAAAGACGAAAUGGUGAAGAACAAAAAAAAGUUAUUUUUCUAACAAUGUUAAGCUCCGUUAAGUGGCGGGUAGGAUAUUUGGUGCGAUUUUGCCACUUUGAGGUAGUAAACAGCUCUAACCCUGACUAUAGGGUCCUAUAUGCGAUAGGGACGCUAACGACGAGGAAAUUUGGUACUUAACACUUAUUAAAAAAUUCAUACAAAAAUAACUAUAAUGCGUACAAAGUACUAAAACUAACUAAAUCAUUUCUUAUUUUUAUUAAAAUAAUUUAAAUUAAUCAAGUUUUGUUCAAUUUAGUUAGUUUAUGAUCGACGAUAAUAUAUGUGACCAAAUAAUACUACUCUUUAUCUUUCAUAUCUACAAAAAAAAGUUAAGCCGGCCUAUUUACGCUUAAUAUAAGUACACGUAAUUAAUUAAUAUAUUAGCCCAACAUCCUUUUCAAGGUUGUCAUGCCCUACUACUUGUAUAAUUAGUCUCUUUCUAAUGAAUGUAUAGUCUAAUUCAAAAUGCAUCUAUAAAUAGCGUAUACAAAAUUUCUACUCAUCACCUAAAACAAUUAACUCAGCCUAUUUAAUUCUAAGAAGCAAUAAUUGUUGCAAAAUACGUCAAUUCUUUUGAUUUUGCACGUAAAUUUAAAAAACGUAACAUUAAUAACAUAAAUUUACUUUUUUCUUACUAUUUUGGGACAUGCACAAAAGAACUUUCUACUUAUUUUUGGACUAUACCACAUUAUUUAUUUUUUAUUUUUUCACCACUCUCAAUACUGUUGGGAACGUAAUAAAAUAUCCUAGCCCUAGUUUUGAUGAUACCAAAAUUCUUAAGUUUUCUUUGUAAUAGACUAGAACCUUUCGAACUCAAGUGUUGGAGUUCAUAUCUUCUAAUUGUAUAGUGUUCUGAAGACUGAAGACCGGAGGAAUGAAGAACGAAGAACGAAUGGCUGAAGACUGAAGACUAAAGAACUCGACUGUUGUUCGCGAUUAAAGGCAGAGUCAAAUACUGAUAUUUGACUAGAACGAGUUUCUCAACUGAAGAAUCAGCUAUGAUUGAUUCAUCUAAUGCUGGCUACGUGGAAUCAGCGUACUGAUACUAAAGUCAAGUAUCAGUUGACAUUCUUCCUCGGACUGAAACACCAACGUUAAAAGGAAGCCACGCAAUCAAAGUACAACCGCAUUAAAUGCAGAGAUACAGAGGAUCGUCCUUUCUCUGCAGAGCAUUCCUUUUUGGUGAUUACCUUUUCAGAGGCGUCUUACCUCCUGUACCUGAGUACCGUUUCUCACCAAACAAGGAACCUCGAAGAUUGAAGCCUCAGCAAAAUUUGAAUUACUCUCCAACGGAUGAAUUCUUGAAGACCAUCUCCACCAACGGAUCUAUUCAAGACCUCUCCUGUAUAUAGAGCUUGAGGAUCACUUCAAUCUUCACCGAUUCAAAUACACAAGCUGAAACGCUGUCGAAAUUGUAACUCAGCCAAUCAAAGCCUUCCAAAGUUUGAAUCGAAGAAGAGAAUCGCAAAGCUAAAAUCAGUCCAUUGUUGAUUACAUAUAUUCUCUUAGAACCUUAGGAAAAUAUUGUUAAUUCAAAGCCUAAGUUACUGAUUACAGAGAGCCUAUUCUCUGUGAUCUAGUUGGUAGUUUUCGAACCUCCUUUCAACUGAACGAAAAGAGUGUUUGAAUCGUGCGGAGUUCAGACCAGUGUUCUGUCUCUAAAAGAUCUUAGUGCCCAGUGCGCGCUAAGUGUGUAUGAGAAAUCCAACCCAGUGUGUUGAUGCUGAAACAUGUGUUUUCAGUUCAAAGUUUGCUGUGCACCCAUAAGCAUAAGCCCAGAGUGUUUGUUAGUGUGAUCAACUGACCGUGGACGUAGGAAUUGGAUUCCGAACCACGUAAAAAUCUCUUUGUCGUUUAUCGCUUUCAGUUUUACUUUCUUAUCUGUGCACAAACGUUCUUAACUGAAAUUGACUAAUCGCAAAGUGAAACUUUAACCUGACAACGUGUUUCUAAAAGGCUUUUUCAAAAGACAAAGUUUUCCGCUACGUGUGUUAUUAGUUAACUGAUAAUUCUUCGGAUAGUCAGUAAGAUUCAUAACACUUCUCUGUUCAAUCCAAGACUGAAGCUCUACGAGUGUAUCAGUUAAAGUCUUCACUUUAACUGAUAUCUUUACUGAAGUGUUUUUCAGUAUCAGUCUUCAACCUUUCGUUAACUGGUUCAUCUGUCAUACUUUUCAGUAUCAGUUAACUAUUAAACGUUGUAUUGUGUUUGAUUUUGAAAAACUGCCUUUAGGUGUAUUCCCCCUACCCAUACACCUAUUCUAGACCUUCCGGGACCCAACAAUUGGUAUCAGAGCAGGUUGUUCGCAAGAACGAUUUGCUUUGAUUUUUCUCUGUGCUAAGUAUUCUUCCUCUGUUUUCCUUCUGUCUUGCUAUGUCUUCUAACCCCUGCAGUUCUUCCUCGCAUCCACACUCCGAAAAGUAUGAAGACAAGUAGCUUGAGAAAGGAAAAGCAUUUGUUGAAGAAGAAUCAGAAUAAUCUAUGCGUUAGAAGAUCAGUCAACGUACUGAAAGUACAGCUAAAGUUGCUACAAAAGACAUCAGUCAAGGGGGAACUUCAUCAACUGAAGAUUCACGAUUGACGACAUCAGUCAACGACUAAAGAAGGAAUAAACCUCUGUUCAACCAUCAACUAGAAUCAACUGAUUUGUUUAAUUAGUUGACUCGUAAGCACCCUUCUCAGUUCUAAGAAAUAUUGACUGAAACUUUUCAUCUCUUGCGAGAAAUUUCUUAAGUUAUCUGCUUUGCGCUUAUACUGUAUUUAUCUGCAUCAACUGGUUUUAUAGCAUUAUAUUUCAAGCUGUUAUCUCCACGAUCUCCAUGAUCCCGCCCUUUUUAUAACGAAGCAGAAUACAUGACACGUGUUGAUUUCUCACUUGUCCGGAUUUCAAAACCUUAUUGAAACCGCCUAGGACACAACUUUCCAUAUUCCUUCAAAAAUGGUUCAUCUUCUGCAAAGCAUUUGCUCAGUCCCUCAAUCUCCACUUUCUCACAUCUUCCCGAAAAAUUUUACCUUUGUUAUCCUCUCUGUGAGAAAAAGCUCUAAGCUUUGUAGAAAAUUUUCGAAGAUUCACUCAUUAUGACGAAAUCAACCAAGUCCGUUGUUCAACAAGCCAUGUGCUAUGAAUCAUCAAUUAAAGUCGAAGCCCUUAUGAAUCUUGCCCAACACGACGAGAUAAAUGAGAUUCUGAGUCGACAUGGCUGGCUCAACUUUAUUCAUACGGUACCAAGAUUUCUUCUUAGAGAGCAAACCAUCAAGGAGUUCUACAACUCCAUUGUUCUGAACAAAGAGACUGAAGAAUACACUGUUGGCAUCACUAUCUUCACAUCUGAGGGUUUCUCAACCUCAGAGAAACAUUCCGUGAAUGCCACUCAAAUGGUAAGGGAAACAUUCCAUCUCCCUUCCGAUGGUCCUGCUCCAACCUUCUCCGAUGAAGAAGCCAACAUUCUACUGGCGAAGGCCUUGAAAGAUAAAGCCCCACAAGCGUCGAUGUUAAAGGCAUUAUGAGCAUGUCACUGCUCCAUCCACACCUUCGACCGAUCGCCAAGAUUAUCAAGAAGUGCUGGUUUGGUAUUCGUGGGUGGUCACCGGACCACAUGUCUAGACCCCACAAAAUUCUGCUGAUUGCACUGAUGCGGGAAGGCCCAUAUAAUUGAGAGAAAGCCUAUCUUCGAGUUCUGGCUGAAGAGAAAGAAAAAUUCAUUCCACCAAGCAUCUUCGACAUGGAACAAGAGUAUCUUCGAUCAUCCUUCGAAGCACCAGUAAAAUCCAAUGCUUCUGGAAGGACGUUACUGAAGUGACGUCUUCCAUCUACCUCUUCGAAAGUCAUAAGAGCUCCACAAGAAAGUCUCCCAUCAUCAUCAGUACUACCCCUGUUCCAACUGCUGGUGUUCACAGCCGAACACGAAGCUCUCUAAAAAAGGUUACUGUCAGUCAGAUAGCCCCAAUCAAAAUUGAUCUUGUCUCUCCCAAUUCUCCAAUUGAAGAAUUGUCUGAGAAAAUACCUGAGAAGUCUCCUGCUGAUUCACCCACUCCUUUUGUUGAAUCACCACAUUCUCCUGACUUGCCUCCUCCAAAUCAAGAGGAACAGACUCAUGAUAAAUCACCUGUCGCUGAUGAAGAGAAAGAUCCAACUGAGAAGAUGUGUCCUCCUCUUACGGGAUUCUUCCACUACUGCAUUGAAACCUUCCAAGAAAAAGUCAGUUUCACUGAUCCUGAUGCUCCGUCCUCCUCAACAGCUACACCAAUUACAAUGCUCAGAAACUACCUCCUGCUACUUACUCAACACUGCGUCACUGAUACUUUUCCAAAACUCUUGGCUAAUGAACAUCCAGAAGCAUUUCAAGAUCUUGUCAGAUACUUCUAUUAUACCAUUGUCAAAACUGCUCCAAAGUCAAGGUUUCCAGGGAUUGAUGAAAUCAUGACUCCCUCUGAAAUGGAAUCUCUCGAGGAUGAUGUCUUUGAGAAGUUCAAUAUCACCAAUCUUUGGGAUGUUAUCCAUGAUUGGGUGCCAAACUUCAAGUACUUUCUGCUUGCCAAAGGUUUACUCAAAGAUGAUCUCAACAGCGAUGAGGAAAUCCCUUUUGAAAUUCCUACCACCCAAGUUCCUCCAACAACUGAUGGCAUAAGAACAGAGCAACAAACUGGAGAGAUGCCAGCUGCAGCGAAUUUGUCAAUUGAUGCAGAGAUUCAACUGAUGAAGGAAAAACUCCAAGCUCAAGAAAUCGAGAUCUAUGAUCUCAAGAUCAAGUUUGCCUUCCUCAAAUCAGCUGUCAUGAAUUUUCAGCAUCAGAGUGGACAUCAAGCAACAGAUGCAGCUGUAACUGAAACUCCAGGCCAUCAGAAGGAAAGCGGAAAGGAGAAAGGGAAACGGAAGGAAGAGACAGAGGCUGAAAGGAAGAUCAGUGAAGAAUCAACUAAAAAAAAUUCUGAAGAAAGGUGUACCAAAAGACCUCGCACUGACUAAACCAGGUGGUAUGGUUAGAUGAAGAGAAAAUUGCGAUUUGUUUGAUGAUUGUGUAUGGCAAGAUUGAUGAAAAGAAUUUGAUAGAUUUGUUUUUGAAGAAGUCUGUAUUUUUUGUUAACUGGUUCAUCAGUCAUACUUUUCAGUAUCAGUUAACUGUUAAAGUUGUAUUGUGUUUGAUUUUGAAAAACUGUCUUUAGGUGUAUUCCCCCCCCCAUACACCUAUUCUAGACCUUUCGGGAUCCAACAAAUAAUAAUUACAACACUUUUUCAUCACUCUCAAUACACUCAACAACUUUUUUUCCACUUUUAAUACAACUUUUUUCUUAAAACUUGUGUCACUCAUCCCUAAGAAGUUCUUUGGUGGACGGACGGAGGGAGUAUAUAAAAGAUGAGUUUAUUCCCUUUAUUUUUCCCUAUCUUUUUUCUCUUUCUUCUCCCAUCAAUUUUUUGUACUAUUUUUCUCUCACUUAAAUUUAAGUUCGUGACAAUAUCUUUAAUAUAAUAUAAAAAUAAUAAAAAAUAAUUUAAACAAUAUUUAAAAAUUUUGAAAAUUUAAUUUUCUUCUCUUUUAAAAUUUUACAAUUUUUAUUUAUGUGUUUGAAAUAUUUAUUAUUAUAGUUAAUAAUAAUAAAUAAUAAUAAUAAUAAUAAAUAAUAAUAAUAAUAAUAAUAAUAAUAAUAAUAAUAAUAAUAAUAAUAAUAAUAAUAAUAAUAAUAAUAAUAAUGUGUAAUGCUAAUUGUCAUUAUCAAAUAAUUUAAAAUUAUUUAAUAACUAUAAUUAGUAAUUACCAUUAAACUUUAUACAGAGUUGAAAAUUUAUGUUUUUAAAUUCAAAUUUUUAUUGAGUAAUUGAUGUAAAUUAUUUCAUUUUAUUUUUAACACUUAUAUUUAUUUAUAUAUUAAUUCUAUUUAAUAUUUAUAUUUAUUUAUCUAAACAUAUCAUUUAAUUUUGAUGUUCGUUGUGCAUCGCACGAGUGGCAUAUUAAUUUUUCCAUAAAUAGAAAUCGUGUGAAGAGCGCAAAAAGUGUAAAGUUCCGGCGUCACAUUUCCGAGUUCAUAUACAGAAGUAACAUAAAUUAAAGUUCGUAUAUUUAUAACAAUUAUCCUCUCAAACACGAUUAAUUAAUAUAUUAUCCCCUAAUCCUUUUUCAUAUUAAUGGAAUAUUUGAUUUGGUGGACAAGAUAGAUAAGGUUGAUAAAAAAGAAGGGUGAUUAGAUAAUUCAUUCAAUUUUGAGGUGAUAAAAAUUCACUUAAUUGAAUUAUUAGAAUACAUGCCGAAUUAUUCAUCACCAAACGAACAAUGAAAAUUAAACAUUUAAUUAAAUUGAAUUAAUUAAAAGCGUAACAUUAGUGACAUAAACUUUGUAAUUUCACACGUUUUUCAUUUUUGAUCAAGUUGAUUUCGUUGUGGUUGUAUUUAUUAGCUGCUGCCACAUCCGCAUCAAUCUUGCCAAAAAUAAGAAUCCUAAAAAUACAAAGUUUGUGAAAUCAUAAAAUUCGUAUAUAAAUUUUUUUGAAAGGAAAGUCGUAUAAUUUUUCAUGGUUAAGUAAUAUGCAUAUAUCCUUUUCCACAAUAUGAGGUUGCCAUUCCCUUUUAAGCCGUUCUACAAGAAUGUUUCAUUUUCCUCUUUUAUGCAUCUUUCAAGGAUCCAACUGUAUGGUCCAUAUAUCCUCACCACAAUGAAAGCGAUCUCUCAAAUAUAUUGAAAAUAAUUUCUCAUCCAAAACGAGAAUAAUAUUCCAAUUAAAUGAUUCGACUAAACGAAAAACUAUCCGACUCUAUGAUUGAACUCAAAUCAAUCUCAUCACCCAAGAACUUGCAAUAUAUUUUCUAUUUUUGUUUACAUCCGGUCCAAUCGAGUUGAGUCGAGUCGAGCCAAUAAAAAAAAGUUGGAACUCGUUUGUAAUAUAUAUGGACUGAUUGAAAAAUAUAAUUCAACUACUUAGACGCUAUUUUUAAAAUAUUUUGAUUUUAAUAUUUUUGUCUUUUCGAAGUUAAAAUGUUGUCGUUUUGAGCGAUUUGUUACAUGGAAAUUGGAAUCAUCUUAAAUGAGUUGGUUACCCAUAUUAGUUGUCAAUUGGAAUGCUUUUAAAGGGACCACUGACAAAUUUUGAGCUUCUACUCUACAAAAUAAUGAGGAUAUAGAAAUUGAUUAAAGCCUACUUUGGUUUUAAUAAGAUGAUAGCUCCUACGAAUGGAUUAAUGAAUGGGUCAUUAACAAAUAGUUUUUUGUGUUU